UGCCCAGAGAGGUUGUGGAGUCUCCUUCUCUGGAGGUAUUACAGACUUAUCUUAACACUUUGUUGUGCAACCUACUGUAGGGAACCUGCCUUAGCAGGGAGUUGGGCUAGGUGAUAUGCAAAGGUUCCUUCCAGCCUCUACAGUUCCAUGAUUCUGUAAUGUCAGGUAAUAUCACAGAGGCAAAUGAAGUGAAAGAGGCUGGAAUCAAGACAUCAGCAGAGAAGCGUUUUGAGUAAGCACCUCCUGUCCAAGUGAAACUCUUCUGGCUCAGAAAGAUUCAUCGCUGCAGUUUGGAAACAAUGCCAGGCGUUGAUGUCUGAGACACAAAAGGCAGUGGAAGAGAUCUCAGAGAGCUCUGAAAGAUUUGUACAGCUGAGUCUCAGGGAUACAAAGGUGUCAUUGUUAAAGGCGGAGAUGAAUGGUAUAAAUAUAGGUACAACAUAGAAAUAAGAGUUUGGCAGCAAGAAGAGAACAUAGGUCUUAGCUAGUACAUUAAGACAAAGGAUGAAAGGGAGCUGGAACUGUGACAUGAGGCAACCACAGAUAUGUAAGUGAUCUGAUAUCUUAAAUGGGGACACAGUCUGUAUUGUCUCAUGACUUAUCCCUGAAAAAGUGACAAACAUAUAAAAAGGAUAUUUAAUGAUUGAAGGACAGGGUUUUAACUUCUGCCAUAAAAAUUUGACAAUGAAAAUACUGAAGAUUACAAUAUGUAUCAAAAACCUUUUAAGAAAAGGAGAGGCUGUGUCUUCAGCCAAAUGCAAAGGAAGGUAAACAAAGGCAAGGGAACACAAAAGGCAAAAAUCAACUGACAGCAGAAGUAACGUGAGAAAUAGAAGGUAAUGAUAGCAAGUAUGAAAUGCAGACAUUAAAAGACUCUCACUCAAACAUCGUUAAGGAGUGCGUGAUCUGGGAACAUAUCAAGUUUUCUUGCUCUUUUCUGGCUCUCAUACUUUCAUAUGUACUCUGCACUUCCUGAGUCAAAGAUUUCAAGCUAAGAUCAGUCUGGAGUGUCUUCUUCAGGCUUGGCUUCUUCUUCUUUUUUUUUUUUUUCUUGAAUAAAGAAAUUGAGAAGU
rnacentral:lncRNA from 1 species